AACGAACGCUGGCGGCAGGCCUAACACAUGCAAGUCGAGCGCCCCGCAAGGGGAGCGGCGGACGGGUGAGUAACGCGUGGGAACGUACCCUUUGCUACGGAAUAGCCUCGGGAAACUGGGAGUAAUACCGUAUGUGCCCUUCGGGGGAAAGAUUUAUCGGCAAAGGAUCGGCCCGCGUUGGAUUAGGUAGUUGGUGGGGUAAUGGCCUACCAAGCCGACGAUCCAUAGCUGGUUUGAGAGGAUGAUCAGCCACACUGGGACUGAGACACGGCCCAGACUCCUACGGGAGGCAGCAGUGGGGAAUCUUAGACAAGUGGGCGCAAGCCUGAUCUAGCCAUGCCGCGUGAGCGAUGAAGGCCUUAGGGUUGUAAAGCUCUUUCAGUGGGAAGAUAAUGACUGUACCCACAGAAGAAGCCCCGGCUAACCUCCGUGCCAGCACGCCGACGGUAAAAGUGGUGUGUA
rnacentral:rRNA from 1 species